rnacentral:rRNA from 1 species
CUUUACUGGCUGGUCGGGUUGUCCGGCGCUUUUACUUUGAAAAAAUUAGAGUGCUCAAAGCAGGCCGAUCGCCUGAAUAAUGGUGCAUGGAAUAAUGGAAUAGGACCUCGGUUCUAUUUUGUUGGUUUUCGGAACACGAGGUAAUGAUUAAGAGGGACAGACGGGGGCAUUUGUAUUGCGACGCUAGAGGUGAAAUUCUUGGACCGUCGCAAGACAAACUACUGCGAAAGCAUUUGCCAAGAAUGUUUUCAUUAAUCAAGAACGAAAGUCAGAGGUUCGAAGGCGAUCAGAUACCGCCCUAGUUCUGACCAUAAACGAUGCCAACUAGCAAUCCGCCUGAGUUCCUCAUACGACUCGGCGGGCAGCUUCCGGGAAACCAAAGUUUUUGGGUUCCGGGGGAAGUAUGGUUGCAAAGCUGAAACUUAAAGGAAUUGACGGAAGGGCACCACCAGGAGUGGAGCCUGCGGCUUAAUUUGACUCAACACGGGGAAACUUACCCGGCCCGGACACCGGAAGGAUUGACAGAUUAAGAGCUCUUUCUUGAUUCGGUGGGUGGUGGUGCAUGGCCGUUCUUAGUUGGUGGAGUGAUUUGUCUGGUUAAUUCCGAUAACGAACGAGACUCUGGCCUAUUAAAUAGACGUUCGAUCUCUUUAAUGUCGAACGCUCUUCUUAGAGGGACAGGCGGCUUUUAGCCGCACGAGAUAGAGCAAUAACAGGUCUGUGAUGCCCUUAGAUGUCCGGGGCCGCACGCGCGCUACAAUGAAGGAUUCAGCAUGUGUUUUCCCUAAUCCGAAAGGACGGGGUAAUCAUGUGAAACUCCUUCGUGCUUGGGAUAGGGGUUUGUAAUUUUUCCCCUUGAACGAGGAAUUCCCAGUAAGCGCGAGUCAUCAACUCGCGUUGAUUACGUCCCUGCCCUUUGUACACACCGCCCGUCGCUACUACCGAUUGAGAGAUUCAGCAAGGACUUUGGACUGGCUCACGG